ensembl:snRNA U6 U6 spliceosomal RNA
UUGCUUCAGCGGCACGUAUACUAAAAUUGGAAGGAUACAGAGAUUAGCAUGUCCCCUGCACAAGGAUGACGCGCAAAUAUGUGAAUCAUUCCAUAUUAAA